AGUGGAAAUGGGAUUUGAACCCAGGUGUGUCUGAAUCUGAAGAUUAUGAUUUUAACAACUAAGAUUUGUUGUCCUGUUUUGUUACACAGGUUCUGAUCAUUAUGGACUAUUCUACAACUGAGAAAGUGCAGCUGCUGAAUGCAGUUUUUCCCUUAUUGGCACAACAUCAAUCUAAAGUUGGUAGAAUAAGAAAUCUUCAUUUCUGUCAGUCUCUGCAAUCCCUAACUUCUUGAAAGAAUCUGUACAAAAUGAAAAAAAAAAAAAGAAGUGGCCUUAUGUACCCCAAUCUGGAGAGAAAUACCCAGCUGAUCUCAAAAGAUAUAAGGGCUUCAAUGUUUCUAUUUGAAAUCUACAGAAAGCUGAGCCAAGUACAUGCAGCAAAUUUUAUUUUGGAUCCCCAGCUGGGAUAAUUCCGUGGUAAGCUAAAGAAUGAAAAGUCCAAUUCUUCUAAGGCUCAAUCAAAAUAUUCCGACUUUAAAACCAGGAAAUCAUCAAUGAAAAUAACAUAUUUGGAAUCAGUUAAAUGUAUUUAUUUUUUCCCCCUCAGCUCACCAUAUAUCAACAGAUCUACCUCUCACAAUAAAAUAGAAGGGAACCUGCCACAUUCUCCCAUCUCACUAUUUUAUAAAAUAAAAACCAAAUAGAA
rnacentral:lncRNA from 1 species